rnacentral:rRNA from 1 species
UACGUAGGGGGCAAGCGUUGUCCGGAAUUAUUGGGCGUAAAGAGCGUGUAGGCGGCCAGACAGGUCCGUUGUGAAAACUCGAGGCUCAACCUCGAGACGUCGACGGAAACCGUCUGGCUAGAGUCCGGAAGAGGAGUGUGGAAUUCCUGGUGUAGCGGUGAAAUGCGCAGAUAUCAGGAAGAACACCUAUGGCGAAGGCAGCACUCUGGGACGGUACUGACGCUGAGACGCGAAAGCGUGGGGAGCGAACAGG